rnacentral:tRNA from 1 species
CGGGGUGUAGCGCAGUCCGGUUUAGCGCGCCUGCUUCGGGAGUAGGAGGUCGGAGGUUCAAAUCCUCUCACCCCGACCA